AGUGAACGCUGGCGGUAGGCCUAACACAUGCAAGUCGAACGGCAGCACAGUAAGAGCUUGCUCUUACGGGUGGCGAGUGGCGGACGGGUGAGGAAUACAUCGGAAUCUACUUUUUCGUGGGGGAUCACGUAGGGAAACUUACGCUCAUACCGCAUACGCCCUACGGGUGAAAGCAGGGGAACUUCGGACCUUGCGCGAUUGAAUGAGCCGAUGUCGGAUUAGCUAGUUGGGGGGGUAAAGGCCCACCAAGGCGACGAUCCGUAGCUGGUCUGAGAGGAUGAUCGGCCACACUGGAACUGAGACACGGUCCAGACUCCUACGGGAGGCAGCAGUGGGGAAUAUUGGACAAUGGGCGCAAGCCUGAUCCAGCCAUACCGCGUGGGUGAAGAAGGCCUUCGGGUUGUAAAGCCCGUUUGUUGGGAAAGAAAAGCAGCAGGUUAAUACCCCGCUGUUCUGACGGUAACCAAAGAAUAAGCACCGGCUAACUACGUG
rnacentral:rRNA from 1 species